rnacentral:rRNA from 1 species
UGGCGAAUAUUGCGCAAUGGGGGAAACCCUGACGCAGCAACGCCGCGUGAAGGAUGAAGGUUUUCGGAUUGUAAACUUCUUUGAUGAGGGACGAACACAAUGACGGUACCUCAAAAACAAGCCACGGCUAACUACGUGCCAGCAGCCGCGGUAAUACGUAGGGGGCAAGCGUUGUCCGGAAUCAUUGGGCGUAAAGGGCGCGUAGGCGGCUGUACAAGUCUGAUGUGAAAGUGCGGGGCUUAACCCCGUAAAGCAUUGGAAACUGUACGGCUUGAGGACAGGAGAGGAAAGUGGAAUUCCUAGUGUAGCGGUGAAAUGCGUAGAUAUUAGGAGGAACACCAGUGGCGAAGGCGACUUUCUGGACUGUAACUGACGCUGAGGCGCGAAAGCGUGGGGAGCGAACAGG